rnacentral:rRNA from 1 species
GGAGGGUGCAAGCGUUAUCCGGAUUUACUGGGUUUAAAGGGUGCGUAGGUGGGUAAGUAAGUCAGUGGUGAAAUCUUCGAGCUUAACUCGGAAACUGCCAUUGAUACUAUUUAUCUUGAAUACUUUGGAGGUAAGCGGAAUAUGUCAUGUAGCGGUGAAAUGCUUAGAUAUGACAUAGAACACCAAUUGCGAAGGCAGCUUACUACACAGUUAUUGACACUGAGGCACGAAAGCGUGGGGAUCAAACAGGAUUAGAUACCCUGGUAGUCCACGCCCUAAACGAUGGAUACUCGACAUUAGCGAUACACAGUUAGUGUCUGAGCGAAAGCAUUAAGUAUCCCACCUGGGAAGUACGAUCGCAAGAUUG